rnacentral:rRNA from 1 species
UACGUAGGGGGCAAGCGUUGUCCGGAAUUAUUGGGCGUAAAGAGCGCGUAGGCGGUCCGAUAAGUCGGCUGUGAAAGUCAGGGGCUCAACCCUUGAAAGCCGGCCGAUACUGUCGGACUAGAGUCCGGAAGAGGCAAGUGGAAUUCCCGGUGUAGCGGUGAAAUGCGCAGAUAUCGGGAGGAACACCAAUGGCGAAGGCAGCUUGCUGGGACGGUACUGACGCUGGGGCGCGAAAGCGUGGGGAGCAAACAGG